GCUCAGCGUUCAUAGAUGACUGACGUGCGGUGGUCUGCUGUGCAUAUCAUGCGGUUAGGUUAAUCAUGUGUUAUCUCCUAGUAAACAAGCUCUUGGUCGGUUGGACAGGAUCACUACUGUGCCCUAGAAAAUUGGGACGCUUGUUUUUACUGUCGUGUUGUUGAGUGUCAUCGGAGACAGAAGACAGGCGACGGCGUGUGAAUCGAACGGCGUGCGGUUGGAGGGGGUGCAGACGCAGGAGGCGCGAAUUCGUCACACGAGCAGCGCCCUCUACAGGAUAAUCGUGGCCGGGGAGUCGAACCACGCCCUUCUGCUGCGACCAGGUGGUGGGGGAGCUGGUGGUACCGACACCCUCGCGCUGGGGUACCCUAGUGCUGACUCUGACGGUUGCGUGCGUGUGCACACAUUCCGAGUUCCCCCAACGAUGGGUGGUGGGGGAGGUCAGUCCGUGAUGCUGGAAUCCCCCCGCGGGGGUCACUUCGUGAGCGCCCUCUCAGGAGCAC